ACGUUUUUAUAUAUAUGGCCAUCAAGACGUAGUAUCUCCACACACAAUAGAGUUCAGCUCAUAUUGGUAUUUAAUAAGCCUGGCAUCCACAAUGCAUGCCUAAGUGUCGGGUGGUGAGGGCCAAGGAACAGGAUGUGCUGCUCUGACUGAGAGACCAAGCAGGGGACCAAGAGCACACACUCGAAGACCAGCACACUGGAAACAGUGAAACUUUGAUUGCUGGAGAGACCAGUUUUAAAGAGUCCAUGCUCCUCCCCUAAUGAGACACACUUGUCCCUCAUGAGGACAGGGAGGAGCACUAUAAUUGUGGGUGGCAUGACAGCUCUGCCCCUCUGGCUGUCAAAACUAUUUAAAAUGUUGAAUACUAAUGUAAUGUUAUGCAAAUA